GAAUUACUCCCUCCGUUCGGAAUUACUUGUCGCGAAAAUGGAUGUAUCUAGAACUAAAAUACAUCUAGAUACAUCCAUUUUUGCGAUAAGUAAUUCCGAACGAAGGGAGUAGAAC
rnacentral:pre_miRNA from 1 species